CCUACUAUCCAUUGCUGGGAAAAAAAGGAAUAAAAAAAAAGCUUGCUGGUGUUUUACAGGGAUUUUAUUAGAGGGGGGAAAAUGAUGAGAAGAGAGGAAAGCAAAGCUGCCUUUGGUACAUCUACACUAUUGGACGUAAAUCCUUUUUAAUGGGAUCCAGGGUUCAGAGCUGGGGCAGAGAUUACCAAGGGAUAUCUGGAUGUGGCGUGACCUGCAUUUGCCCCAGCCUCACCCUCUGCACCGGCCUGCCGGGGCAAGGCUGGGGCAAGGCCAGGAAGAGUCUGGGCAAGGAGGGUAAGACUAAGCUUGGUGCUCCCACGGUGACCCUGUUCAGACCCCCUGAUCCCAGGCAUGUGAUGAUCCGCAGCACACAAUGAAAACUCUUUUCAUGGAGAUUGUACCAGGCGGUCCAGCUGCCAUUGAACUGUAUGUAACACACCAGUGGAUACUCAACUAUAUGUAAUGUUAUGGACCAAUGGCAACCAAUAUGUAUUCAGCUCUAGUGAGUGUGACGGACCAGUGGUCGCCUUUUUUGAAGAGACCAACGACUUACUCAACUGUGUGUGAUGGAUAAAUACUGUUACAGAUUAUAUUAAAGGCAUCCAUACCAAUUAAUUAAAACGAUUGUCUAUUGUAAUGACAAUUGGCUUGUUUUUUAGUAGAUUUAACUUUUACUUUCAGGUUAGUGGACCAUUUGACAGACCAAUUCACACUUUAACCUCAAACAAUUUGUUGAGAAAUAAAUUAUUUAUUUUUCA